UCUCUCGUUGCUUAGUGAUCAGAGCAUUGGUGCGUCAAUACAAAAGUCCCGGGUUCAAUUCCCGGCGAGGAUG
rnacentral:tRNA from 1 species